rnacentral:rRNA from 1 species
GGGCAGCAUUGGGGUAGCAUACUUCAGAUGGCGACCGGCGCACGGGUGAGUAACACGUAUCCAACCUUCCGCUUACUCGGGGAUAGCCUUUCGAAAGAAAGAUUAAUACCCGAUGGUAUAAAGAGUUCGCAUGUUCUCUUUAUUAAAGAAUUUCGGUAAGCGAUGGGGAUGCGUUCCAUUAGAUAGUUGGCGGGGUAACGGCCCACCAAGUCUACGAUGGAUAGGGGUUCUGAGAGGAAGGUCCCCCACAUUGGAACUGAGACACGGUCCAAACUCCUACGGGAGGCAGCAGUGAGGAAUAUUGGUCAAUGGACGAGAGUCUGAACCAGCCAAGUAGCGUGAAGGAUGACUGCCCUAUGGGUUGUAAACUUCUUUUAUAAGGGAAUAAAGUGAGGGACGUGUCCCUUUUUGUAUGUACCUUAUGAAUAAGGAUCGGCUAACUCCGUGCCAGCAGCCGCGGUAAUACGGAGGAUCCGAGCGUUAUCCGGAUUUAUUGGGUUUAAAGGGAGCGUAGGUGGAUUGUUAAGUCAGUUGUGAAAGUUUGCGGCUCAACCGUAAAAUUGCAGUUGAAACUGGCAGUCUUGAGUACAGUAGAGGUGGGCGGAAUUCGUGGUGUAGCGGUGAAAUGCUUAGAUAUCACGAAGAACUCCGAUUG